GGCCGCGCGCAGGCGGCUGGGAUGUGCAGUCUUGCGAGGGCGCGUGGUGUCUCGCAGAGUCUCCGUUUUUUGUUUGUUUGUUUGUGUUUUUGUUUGUUUUUGUUUGUGUGGUUUUGUUUUCCGAGCAGGCCGCUUGCCACAGCCCUUUUGCGCCCCCGUAGGGGGUCUCUCAGCUGCUCGUGAUACAGGGAGUUAACUAUUUAACACUUAGAGAACGAACACUUAGGAGAGCUGACCCUUAACCCACAUCACAGUUGCCCAGCCUCGCUUAGCCUCGUGUAACUUACUGUGUGAGAAACAGGAGUUUGCUGGCGACUUCACAGCCCUUGCAGAGACAAAAGCGCCGGGGCGCAUCCCUGGGUGAACCAGAGAGCAGACACUUGGGCACAGGACGGGAGACACGCCAGUUCUAACCAGCACAUCGCACCAGCCCGAAGGUGACCGCGGGGACGCGGGUUCGCGGCCACUGUGCGGCCGCAACCAGGAGGAGCUGGAGACUGUGGAAAUAUCUCCCGGAACUCAUUAGCCUGUUGGUGCCGGUGGUGGAUGUGGAUAUUAAGAAGAAAUUGGAACACUUUGGAGUAAGUUGGCGAGAGCAUGGCUAGUUACAAUGAAAACAAACAGGACCUCUAUGGCUGAUUUUUCACCUCUCUAUAGACGAAAAAGUGGAUUCAGCAUUCUGCAACAUCCCAGCUGCAAUGUUUUAGCCCGCAAAAAUGUGUGUUUCAGCUGUUCUGCUAGCACUGUGUAUUUUCUGACUUACAGAAAGUAUUUCUGGAUCUUCACACUGUCCUGUUAAAUAUCAUGUCAUUUGAAAAGGGAGAGAGAAAUUGCAGCUGUGGCACAGAAUCCAUCCAUGUGGUUCAGAACUUGCUGAAAUGCUAUUUAAAUCUCCUCUGGCUGUGCAAAGAGCACAGGGGUUUGAAUAAGUGAUGAUGUUUCAUCCCCAGAAGGAACUGAACUGGUAAGGAUAAUACUGGACAUUAGAAGUCAGUAAUCCACCCAGGGCAGUGCUAGCCUUUAUUUUAACUUUUCCGAAACAGAGUGUAUUUGCCAGCAAAAACUCUACAAGAAUUGGACCUGCUUAGAAGUUUUGAGCUGCUGCAGAGGUACCUUCCUCUACAUGAGACAGGGGUUUCUGGCUUCCACACAGUUCCGAGCUUAGUGGGAGCCAGGACUAGGGGAAAAGAUGCAACUCUCCAGAACCCCGGUUCCCUGUUUGCAUUUAGGGGUGAUUUGUCCUUCAUGAAUAUUUACUUAAAUCUAGCAAGAAGGACAGGCUUUCUGUGGCCCUGCUUUAUUAAAGAUGUCAACCCUUGAUAUCAAUACAGUCUGGGGUAUGAAGGGACUGAGAGCAGCCCUGUGGAGAAGGACUUAGGGCUGUUGGUUGAUGAGAAGCUCAACGUGACACAGCAAUGCGCUUUUGCAGCCUGGAACGCCAACUGUAUCCUGACCACAUCAAAAGGAGCAUGGCCAGCAGGGCAAGGGAGGUGAUUCUCCCCCUCUACUCCAACCUUGUGAAACCCCACCCUGCAGUACUGUGUCCAGCUCUGGGGCCCCUGACAUAAGAGGGACAUGGACAUGUUGGAGCUGGUCUAGAGAAGGGCCAUGAAGAUGAUCAAAGGGAUGAAACACCUCUCCUGUGAAGACAGACUGAGAGAGUUGGGGUUGUUCAGCCUGGAGAAAGCUCUGAGAAGAUCUUAUUGUGGCAUUUCAGUACUAAAAAGGGGCUUAUAAGAUAGGGACAGACAUUUUAGCAGGACCUGUAGCGAUAGGACAAGGCGUAAUGACUUAAACCUAAAAGACGGGAGAUUUAGACUAGAUAAAAGGAAGAAAUUUUUUACAAUAAGUGUGGUGGAACACUGGAAGUUGCUCCGAGAGGUGAUGGAUGUCCCAUCCCCGGAAACAUUCAAGACCAGGCUGGACGGGGCUCUGAGCAACCUGAUCUAGUUGAAGAUGUCCCUGAUCAUGGCAGGGCGAUGGGACUAGAUGAGCUUUGAAGACCCCUUCCAACCCAAACUGCUUUAUGUCCCCAGGAGUCUUUUCUAGCAGAGUGACCUUUGAGCAUCAUGGAUGCAGUUUAAGAGUGUUGGGUCCCUCUGAGCUCAGCCCUGAGCAAGCUGCAGCUCAGUGAGAGGCUCUGAAUCUCUUGCCUGUGGAACUGCUCCUUGGUGCCACUAUGAAGUAAAAUCCUUAAGGCUUCCCUGGUACUCAGGGAGCGGAUGCCCAUCAGGAGAACUGGAGGCUCUGCUCACCAUCAGGGAGCUGGCAAAUGAAGAGGCAGAGACUUUCUAACCCCUCAUCAGGUAUCAACGUAGUCAAGUGUAUGACUUCUGUCUUUAAGGUUUCUAAGUGCUGAUUUACUGUUUGUACAUUUCACUUUCUCUUCUUUACACUUUAAGUUUCCUUACAGGAGUGUUGUGUUCAUGGAUUACUUUAUAUUCAGAAAAUACAAGACCAAGCUGUCUUACAGUAUAUUCAAACCUUUAUUAAGAAGCACCCUGGAGGUAAUAGGGCAGUUGCCAGUUUUACCACUAAAUCUUACUUGUUCAAACCCAGAACAUGUUACUCCUUUAAUCAGUCUUUUAGAUCCUCUAAUUCAUUGCUGUAAGUGGAAGUGUGUGAAUAGCUGAAGAUUAUAUAUAUAUAUAUACAAAAAAAUGAAAACUCUGUAUAAUUUGUUAGAUCUUCUUGGUGCUAAGGGAUUUUUUCAGAGCAUUGGUGUUUAAGUGAACACCUGUUGAAAGUAAUCAAGAACAUGUAGUCCUGAAUAAGUAGAUCUGUUUGGAUAAGAGUUCAGUGAUGGAAGCUUUAGCUCAUGGUGUUGAGAUUUACUGCUCCCUCUUUUGAACGGACAGAAUCCAGGGACACUGAGUACCCGGAGUGGAAUGCUAUAAUACAAUAACACUUCAUUAAGCCAGGUGUAAGUUGAAGAGGUAAAAUCAGAGAGUCUAUAUCUCAGUACUUCCCUCCAGCAAGAACUUAUUUACCCUUCCAAAUUUUUUCAUGUUUCUUCCCAAACCCACAGCAUGAUGAUGGUGAUGUUAUCUGACAUGACCAACAGAGUCAAGUAAAGUGUAGUGUGCCCAAAAAAAUGCUGUGAGAAGUGAAGAAUGCUGUGUUGACUCUACCUUUCUCAGUAGUGCUGAAAGAAAUCUGGAGAGGACCAAUGUGAGAGGUGUAUAUUCUCCUGUUUCUGAUAUGAAAGUUUUCUACUAGAUUUUCUACAAAUGCUUUUUUCUUACUGCUCUCCAGAUAAACUUUUGGCCUACUUUUUGUAGCUAUUAAUAAUCUUCUUACAGCAGACAAGAGGGCAACAGGGAGGAGUAGAACAUUUUAUUCAGAUUGUUAAAAACGUAUAUUUUCAAAAUUCAUAAUAGUUACUCCCUAUUUUGCAGCAAUGCCUAGUUGGCAGUUGGUGAAAUGACUCGGCUCUUUUAAUAAAGUUAUGGAAACUCA